rnacentral:rRNA from 1 species
GGACCAUCAUGUCGGUCGUGCCUCGGUACGUACUGGUAUUGUUGGUUUCUCCCUUCUGACGAACCAUGAUGUCAUUUAUUUGGUGUGGCGGGGAGCCAGGACUUUUACCUUGAAAAAAUUAGAGUGUUUAAAGCAGGCUCACGCUUGAAUACAUUAGCAUGGAAUAAUGAAAUAGGACGUUUGAUUCUAUUUUGUUGGUUUCUAGGAUCGAUGUA